GUGCCAGCCGCCGCGGUAAUACGGAGGGUGCGAGCGUUAAUCGGAAUUACUGGGCGUAAAGCGUACGCAGGCGGUUUGUUAAGCGAGAUGUGAAAGCCCCGGGCUCAACCUGGGAACUGCAUUUCGAACUGGCAAACUAGAGUGUGAUAGAGGGUGGUAGAAUUUCAGGUGUAGCGGUGAAAUGCGUAGAGAUCUGAAGGAAUACCGAUGGCGAAGGCAGCCACCUGGGUCAACACUGACGCUCAUGUACGAAAGCGUGGGGAGCAAACAGGAUUAGAUACCCUGGUAGUCCACGCCGUAAACGAUGUCUACUAGAAGCUCGGGUCUUCGGACUUGUUUUUCAAAGCUAACGCAUUAAGUAGACCGCCUGGGGAGUACGGCCGCAAGGUUAAAACUCAAAUGAAUUGACGGGGGCCCGCACAAGCGGUGGAGCAUGUGGUUUAAUUCGAUGCAACGCGAAGAACCUUACCUACACUUGACAUACAGAGAACUUACCAGAGAUGGGUGGUGCCUUCGGGAACUCUGAUACAGGUGCUGCAUGCUGUCGUCAAGCUCGUGUUGUGAGA
rnacentral:rRNA from 1 species